GUGCUCUUUGGUAGCACACAUACUAAAAUUGGAGCAAUACAGAGAAGAUUAGCAUGGACUCUAUGCAAGGAUGACAUGUAAAAUCAUGAAGCAUUUUACAUUUUU